rnacentral:rRNA from 1 species
GACGUAGGGCGCGAGCGUUGUUCGGAAUUACUGGGCGUAAAGGGCGCGUAGGCGGCCUUCUAAGUCGGACGUGAAAUCCCUCGGCUUAACCGAGGAACUGCGUCCGAUACUGAAAGGCUUGAAUCCGGGAGAGGGAUGUGGAAUUCCAGGUGUAGCGGUGAAAUGCGUAGAUAUCUGGAGGAACACCGGUGGCGAAGGCGGCAUCCUGGACCAUUACUGACGCUGAGGAGCGAAAGCCAGGGGAGCAAACGGG